rnacentral:lncRNA from 1 species
UUCCGCAACGGUAUAUUUUUUCUCUUUGAAGUCAUUUAAACAUAUUGAACACAUUUUCUGAUUAUUGAUAUUGCCAUCAUCAUCAACAUCAUCGCCCCAGAAGAAAAUUUUAGUAGAUGCGACUAUUCUGUACUUCAAAUCUUUCUUCAUAACCUUAUUGUUCUCUUUCAAAAACAUCUAAGUGAAACUAAUAAUUCAUAGUUUAAUUUAAAUGAUACAGAAAAAGAUUCUAUUAAUUUUGUUUUUUGAGCUUCACCAUAUAAGUAUGGAGAUAACUUCUCUAUAAUUCUCUCCAAUACUUGUUUGUUGAUGUGAACGUCGUUAUUUGUGAUCGCUUUGAUAGUAUUUUAUGUCGACGUUAUUUAACUGAAGUGUUGGUCGGUGUUUGAAAUUAGCUUGGGGACGAAAGAUGUUAUGCUAGCUCUUGAUGAUGGUGAAGAUGAGAUGACUGUAUAUUUUCUUUUCACCAUUUUUCGGAGGUCAUUACGAAUUUCAUAAAAUCGUUUGAUUCAUUCCAUGACAUGAUAGAUGCAGUUGAAUGCAUUGAAGCCAUUAUCAAACUUUCGAUUGAAAUGUGUAAAAGUGUCAGAGAAGAAGAUGAUAUAAAAAAUAGAAAUUGUUUUAUUAAUUUAUAGAAAAAUAAACAUUUGAAUCAAUGGUUGUAAACAAAAACAAUUAUAACCACAAAUUAAACUCAUCUAAAAUUAGUAAAGAUUUUAAUCUUCAUUAAAAUGAUAAAAUUGCAUCAAAAUAAAAAAAAAAAUUUCCAAUAUAUACUUUUUUUUUGCAAAAAAAAUGAAUGAAUUUAUAAUAAAUAUUAAAAAAAAUUAAAUUAUUAAUUGAAUGAAUCUAAAGAGACAAACUUUUUGAAAUUUAAUGGUUUCGCCUAGAUUUACCGUUGAUUCUUAUAUCCACCGGUAGCUGAUAAACUCAGAAAUCGUUAGACUCACCCCAGUCAUUUAAGUGUUUUUGAUCAUUUUAAUUAUUUUUUUACUCCAUCUAAACCCUAACCCUAAAAGACUUAUAUAGAAAAGUACAGACUUAUGUAAAUGGAUCCUUGAAAAUCCAGAGAUUUUGAUUUGAAAUAAUUUAUUUUAUCAGGGAAUUAAGAUUGCUUUGAAAUAAAAAUAUCAAAUAUUAGACCUAAAUAAACCAUACAUAACAUUAUUAUUUAAUUAAAAAUUAAUUUGAAAUCGACAUAGUGGACAAGAUGUAUUUUCUUUAACAAACCAUUUUAAUACGCAACACAUAUGAAAAACAUGUUUGCAAGGAAGUUCCGCAAUGGUAUAUUUUUUCUCUUUGAAGUCAUUUAAACAUAUUGAACACAUUUUCUGAUCAGUGAUAUUGCCAUCAUCAUCAACAUCAUCGCCCCAGAAGAAAAUUUUAGUAGAUGCGACUAUUCUGUACUUCAAAUCUUUCUUCAUAACCUUAUUGUUCUCUUUCAAAAACAUCUCGGGUGAAACUAAUAAUUCAUAGUUUAAUUUAAAUGAUACAGACAAAGAUUCUGAUAAUGUUGUUUUUUGAGCUUCACCAUAUAAGUAUGGAGAUAACUUCUCUAUAAUUCUCUCCAAUACUUGUUUGUUGACGUGAAUGCCGUUAUUUGUGAUCGUUUUGAUAGUAUUUUCUGUCGACGUUAUGGAACUGAAGUGUUGGUCGGUGUUUGAAAUUAGCUUGGGGACGAAAGAUGUCAUGCUAGCUCUAGAUGAUGGUGAAGAUGAGAUGACUGUAUAUUUUCUUUUCACCAUUUUUCGCAGGUCAUUUCGAAUUUCAUAAAAUCGUUUGAUUCAUUCCAUGACAUGAUAGAUGCAGUUGAUGCCAUUGCAGCCGUUAUCAAACUUUCGAAUGAAAUGUGUAAAGAGGGUCAGAGAAGAUGAUGAUAUAAAAAUUGGAAAUGGUUUUAUUAAUUUAUAGAAAAAUAAAAAUUUGAAUGAAUGGUUGUAAACAAAAAUAAUUAUACCCACCAAUUAAACUCAUCUAACAUUAGUAAAGAUUUUAAUCUUCACAAAAAUGAUAAAAUUGCAUCAAAGUAAAAAAAUUUCAAAUAUAUAUUUUUUUUUUGCAAAAAUAUUGAAUGAAUUUAUAAUGAAUAGUAAAAAAAAUUAGAUUAUUAAUUGAAUUUUUGAAAUUUUAUGGUUUCGCCAGGAUUUACUGUUGAUUCUUAGAUCCACCGGUAGCCGAAAAACUCAGAAAUCGUUAGACUCACCCCAGUCAUUUAAGUGUUUUUGGUCAUUUUAAUUAUUUUUUUACUCCAUCUAAACCCUAAUCCUCAAAAUACUUUUACAGAAAAGUCCAGACUUUUGUAAAUGGAUCCUUGAAAACCCAGAGAUUUUGAUUUGAAAUAAUAUAUUUUAUCAGGGUUAUUAAGAUUGAUUUGAAAUAAAAAUAUUAUAUAUUAGACCUAAAUAAACCAUACAUAACAUUAUUAUUUAAUUAAAAAUUAAUUUGAAAUCGACAUAGUGGACUAGAUGUAUUUUUUUUAACAAACCAUUUUAAUACGCAACACAUAUGAAAAACAUGUUUGCAAGGAAGUUCCGCAACGGAAUAUUUUUUCUCUUUGAAGUCAUUUAAACAUAUUGAACACAUUUUCUGAUCAUUGAUAUUGGCAUCAACGUCAACAUCAUCACCCCAGAUGAAAAUUUUAUUAGAUGCGACUUUUCUGUACUUCAAAUCUUUCUUCAUUACCUUAUUGUUCUCUUUCAAAAACAUCUCGGGUGAAACUAAUAAUUCAUAGUUUAAUUUAAAUGAUCCAGACAAAGAUUCUGAUAAUGUUGUUUUUUGAGCUUCACCAUAUAAGUAUGGAGAUAACUUCUCUAUAAUUCUCUCCAAUACUUGUUUGUUGAUGUGAAUGCCGUUAUUUGUGAUCGUUUUGAUAGUAUUUUCUGUCGACGUUUUGGAACUGAAGUGUUGGUCGGUAUUUGAAAUUAGCUUGGAGACGAAAGAUGUCAUGCUAGCUCUUGAUGAUGGUAAAGAUGAGAAGACUGUGUAUUUUCUGUUCACCGUAACUUCCAUAACAACGGCACGAAAUGGGUAUAUAGUUUCAGGGAGAUACCAAUUUUCACAGGUCAUUUCGAAUUUCAUAAAAUCGUUUGAUUCAUUCCAUGACAUGAUAGAUGCAGUUGAUGCCAUUGCAGCCGUUAUCAAACUUUCGAAUGAAAUGUGUAAAGAGGGUCAGAGAAGAUGAUGAUAUAAAAAUUGGAAAUGGUUUUAUUAAUUUAUAGAAAAAUAAAAAUUUGAAUCAAUGGUUGUAAACAAAAACAAUUACGCCCACCAAUUAAACUCAUCUAACAUUAGUAAAGAUUUUAAUCUUCAAAAAAUGAUAAAAUUGCAUCAAAAUAAAAAAAAUCCAAUAUAUUUUUUUUUUUGCAAAAAUAUUGAAUGAAUUUAUAACAAAUAGUAAAAAAAAUUAAAUUAUUAAUUGAAUUUUUGAAAUUUUAUGGUUUCGCCUGGAUUUAUUGUUGAUUCUUAGAUCCACCGGUAGCCGAAAAACUCAGAAAUCGUUAGACUCACCCCAGUCAUUUAAGUGUUUUUGGUCAUUUUAAUUAUUUUUUCACUCCAUCUAAACCCUAAUCCUUAAAAUACAUUUACAGAAAAGUCAAGACUUUUAUGUAAAUGGAUCCUUGAAAACCCAGAGAUUUUGAUUUGAAAUAAUAUAUUUUAUCAGGAUUAUUAAGAUUGCUUUGAAAUAAAAAUAUUAUAUAUUAGACCUAAAUAAACCAUACAUAACAUUAUUAUUUAAUUAAAAAUGAAUUUGAAAUCGACAAAGUGGACAAGAUGUAUUUUUUUUAACAAACCAUUUUAAUACGCAACACAUAUGAAAAUCAUGUUUGCAAGGAAGUUCCGCAACGGUAUAUUUUUUCUCUUUGAAGUCAUUUAAACAUAUUGAACACAUUUUCUGAUUAUUGAUAUUGCCAUCAUCAUCAGCAUCAUCGCCCCAGAAGAAAAUUUUAGUAGAUGCGACUAUUCUGUACUUCAAAUCUUUCUUCAUAACCUUAUUGUUCUCUUUCAAAAACAUCUAAGUGAAACUAAUAAUUCAUAGUUUAAUUUAAAUGAUACAGAAAAAGAUUCUAUUAAUUUUGUUUUUUGAGCUUCACCAUAUAAGUAUGGAGAUAACUUCUCUAUAAUUCCCUCCAAUACUUGUUUGUUGAUGUGAACGCCGUUAUUUGUGAUGGCUUUGAUAGUAUUUUAUGUCGACGUUAUUUAACUGAAGUGUUGGUAGGUGUUUGAAAUUAGCUUGGGGACGAAAGAUGUCAUGCUAGCUCUUGAUGAUGGUGAAGAUGAGAUGACUGUAUAUUUUCUUUUCACCAUUUUUCGCAGGUCAUUUCGAAUUUCAUAAAAUCGUUUGAUUCAUUCCAUGACAUGAUAGAUGCAGUUGAAUGCAUUGAAGCCAUUAUCAAACUUUCGAUUGAAAUGUGUAAAAGUGUCAGAGAAGAAGAUGAUAUAAAAAAUAGAAAUUGUUUUAUUAAUUUAUAGAAAAAUAAACAUUUGAAUCAAUGGUUGUAAACAAAAACAAUUAUAACCACAAAUUAAACUCAUCUAAAAUUAGUAAAGAUUUUAAUAUUCAUUAAAAUGAUAAAAUUGCAUCAAAAUAAAAAAAAAAUUUCCAAUAUAUACUUUUUUUUUGCAAAAAAAAUGAAUGAAUUUAUAAUAAAUAUUAAAAAAAAUUAAAUUAUUAAUUGAAUGAAUCUAAAGAGACAAACUUUUUGAAAUUUAAUGGUUUCGCCUAGAUUUACCGUUGAUUCUUAGAUCCACCGGUAGCUGAUAAACUCAGAAAUCGUUAGACUCACCCCAGUCAUUUAAGUGUUUUUGAUCAUUUUAAUUAUUUUUUUACUCCAUCUAAACCCUAACCCUAAAAGACUUAUAUGGAAAAGUACAGACUUAUGUAAAUGGAUCCUUGAAAAUCCAGAGAUUUUGAUUUGAAAUAAUAUAUUUUAUCAGGGAAUUAAGAUUGCUUUGAAAUAAAAAUAUCAAAUAUUAGACCUAAAUAAACCAUACAUAACAUUAUUAUUUAAUUAAAAAUUAAUUUGAAAUCGACAUAGUGGACAAGAUGUAUUUUUUAAAAAAAACCAUUUUAAUACGCAACACAUAUGAAAAACAUGUUUGCAAGGAAGUUCCGCAAUGGUAUAUUUUUUCUCUUUGAAGUCAUUUAAACAUAUUGAACACAUUUUCUGAUCAGUGAUAUUGCCAUCAUCAUCAACAUCAUCGCCCCAGAAGAAAAUUUUAGUAGAUGCGACUAUUCUGUACUUCAAAUCUUUCUUCAUAACCUUAUUGUUCUCUUUCAAAAACAUCUAAGGUGAAACUAAUAAUUCAUAGUUUAAUUUAAAUGAUACAGAAAUAGAUUCUAUUAAUUUUGUUUUUUGAGCUUCACCAUAUAAGUAUGGAGAUAACUUCUCUAUAAUUCUCUCCAAUACUUGUUUGUUGAUGUGAACGUCGUUAUUUGUGAUCGCUUUGAUUGUAUUUUAUGUCGACGUUAUUUAACUGAAGUGUUGGUCGGUGUUUGAAAUUAGCUUGGGGACGAAAGAUGUUAUGCUAGCUCUUGAUGAUGGUGAAGAUGAGAUGACUGUAUAUUUUCUUUUCACCAUUUUUCGGAGGUCAUUACGAAUUUCAUAAAAUCGUUUGAUUCAUUCCAUGACAUGAUAGAUGCAGUUGAAUGCAUUGAAGCCAUUAUCAAACUUUCGAUUGAAAUGUGUACAAGUGUCAGAGAAGAUGAUGAUAUAAAAAAUGGAAAUUGUUUUAUUAAUUUAUAGAAAAAUAAAGAUUUGAAUCAAUGGUUGUAAACAAAAACAAUAAUAACCACAAAUUAAACUCAUCUAAAAUUAGUAAAGAUUUUAAUCUUCAUUAAAAUGAUAAAAUUGCAUCAAAAUCAAAAAAAAAAAAUUCCAAUAUAUAAUUUUUUUUUUGCAAAAAAAUUGAAUGAAUUUAUAAUAAAUAUUAAAAAAAAAAAUUAUUAAUUGAAUGAAUCUAAAGAGACAAACUUUUUGAAAAUUAAUGGUUUCGCCUAGAUUUACCGUUGAUUCUUAGAUCCACCGGUAGCCGAAAAACUCAGAAAUCGUUAGACUCAUCCCAGUCAUUUAAGUGUUUUUGAUCAUUUUAAUUAUUUGUUUACUCCAUCCAAACCCUAACCCUAAAAGACUUAUAUAGAAAAGUAUAGACUUAUGUAAAUGGAUCCUUGAAAAUCCAGAGAUUUUGAUUUGAAAUAAUAUAUUUUAUCAGGGAAUAAGAUUGCUUUGAAAUAAAAAUAUUAUAUAUUAGACCUAAAUAAACCAUACAUAACAUUAUUAUUUAAUUAAAAAAUAAUUUGAAAUCGACAUAGUGGACAAGAUGUAUUUUUUUUAACAAACCAUUUUAAUACGCAACACAUAUGAAAAUCAUGUUUGCAAGGAAGUUCCGCAACGGUAUAUUUUUUCUCUUUGAAGUCAUUUAAACAUAUUGAACACAUUUUCUGAUAAUUGAUAUUGCCAUCAUCAUCAACAUCAUCGCCCCAGAAGAAAAUUUUAGUAGAUGCGACUAUUCUGUACUUCAAAUCUUUCUUCAUAACCUUAUUGUUCUCUUUCAAAAUCAUCUAAGGUGAAACUAAUAAUUCAUAGUUUAAUUUAAAUGAUACAGAAAAAGAUUCUGAUAAUGUUGUUUUUUGAGCUACACCAUAUAAGUAUGGAGAUAACUUCUAUAUAAUUCUCUCCAAUACUUGUUUGUUGAUGUGAACGCCGUUAUUUGUGUUCGUUUUGAUAGUAUUUUCUGUCGACGUUAUUUAACUGAAGUGUUGGUCGGUGUUUGAAAUUAGCUUGGGGACGAAAGAUGUCAUGCUAGCUCUUGAUGAUUGUGAAGAUGAGAUGACUGUAUAUUUUCUUUUCACCAAUUUUUGUAGGUCAUUUCGAAUUUCAUAAAAUCGUUUGAUUCAUUCCAUGACAUGAUAGAUGCAGUUGAAUGCAUUGAAGCCAUUAUCAAACUUUCGAUUGAAAUGUGUACAAGGGUCAGAGAAGAUGAUGAUAUAAAAAUUGGAAAUUGUUUUAUUAAUUUAUAGAAAAAUAAAGAUUUGAAUCAAUGGAUGUAAACAAAAACAAUUAUAACCACAAAUUAAACUCAUUUAAAAUUAGUAAAGAUUUUAAUCUUCACUAAAAUGAUAAAAUUGCAUCAAAAAAAAAAAUCCAAUAUAUUUUUUUUUUGGAAAAAAAUUGAAUGAAUUUAUAAUAAAUAUUAAAAAAUAUUAAAUUAUUAAUUGAAUGAAUCAAAAGAGACAACCUUUUUGAAAAUUUAUGGUUUCGCCUAGAUUUACCGUUGAUUCUUAGAUCCACCGGUAGCCGAUAAACUCAGAAAUCGUUAGACUCACCCCAGUCUUUUUAGUGUUUUUUGUCAUUUUAAUUAUUUUUUUACUCCAUCUAAACCCUAAACCUCAAAAUACUUUUACAGAAAAGUCCAGACUUUUGUAAAUGGAUCCUUGAAAACCCAGAGAUUUUGAUUUGAAAUAAUAUAUUUUAUAAGGGUUAUUAAGAUUGCUUUGAAAUAAAAAUAUUAUAUAUUAGACCUAAAUAAACCAUACAUAACAUUAUUAUUUAAUUAAAAAUGAAUUUAAAAUCGACAAAGUGGACAAGAUGUUUUUUUUUAACAAACUAUUUUAAUACGCAAUACAUAUGAAAAACAUGUUUGCAAGGAAGUUCCGCAACGGUAUAUUUUUUCUCUUUGAAGUCAUUUAAACAUAUUGAACACAUUUUCUGAUAAUUGAUAUUGCCAUCAUCAUCAACAUCAUCGCCCCAGAAGAANNNNNNNNNNNNNNNNNNNNNNNNNNNNNNNNNNNNNNNNNNNNNNNNNNNNNNNNNNNNNNNNNNNNNNNNNNNNNNNNNNNNNNNNNNNNNNNNNNNNUAACCUUAUCGUUCUCUUUCAAAAACAUCUAAGGUGAAACUAAUAAUUCAUAGUUUAAUUUAAAUGAUACAGAAAAAGAUUCUAUUAAUUUUGUUUUUUGAGCUUCACCAUAUAAGUAUGGAGAUAACUUCUCUAUAAUUCUCUCCAAUACUUGUUUGUUGAUGUGAACGUCGUUAUUUGUGAUCGCUUUGAUAGUAUUUUAUGUCGACGUUAUUUAACUGAAGUGUUGGUCGGUGUUUGAAAUUAGCUUGGGGACGAAAGAUGUUAUGCUAGCUCUUGAUGAUGGUGAAGAUGAGAUGACUGUAUAUUUUCUUUUCACCAUUUUUCGGAGGUCAUUACGAAUUUCAUAAAAUCGUUUGAUUCAUUCCAUGACAUGAUAGAUGCAGUUGAAUGCAUUGAAGCCAUUAUCAAACUUUCGAUUGAAAUGUGUAAAAGUGUC